UCGAGAAUCAUUCGCAAUGGGCGCAAGCCUGACGGUGCGACGUCGCGUGGAGGAUGAAGGUCUUCGGAUUGUAAACUCCUGUCAUGUGGGAUAAAUGGCCAGGGCAUGAAUAGUGCCUUGGAAUGAUAGUACCACAGGAGGAAGGGACGGCUAACUCUGUGCCAGCAGCCGCGGUAAUUCAGAGGUCCCGAGCGUUGUUCGGAUUUACUGGGCGUAAAGGGAGCGUAGGCGGUUUGGUGUGUCGAAUGUGAAAGCCCACAACUCAACUGUGGAGUGACAUUCGAAACUACUGAGCUAGAGUACUGGAGAGGAGAGCGGAAUUCUUGGUGUAGCGGUGAAAUGCGUAGAUAUCAAGAGGAACACCGGUGGCGAAGGCGGCUCUCUGGACAGAUACUGACGCUGAGGCUCUAAAGUUAGGGUAGCAAACAG
rnacentral:rRNA from 1 species